GGGGUGCUCGAGUGGCGAACGGGUGAGUAACACGUGAGUAACCUGCCCUUGACUUUGGGAUAACUUCAGGAAACUGGGGCUAAUACCGGAUAGGAGCUCCUGCUGCAUGGUGGGGGUUGGAAAGUUUCGGCGGUUGGGGAUGGACUCGAGGCUUAUCAGCUUGUUGGUGGGGUAGUGGCUUACCAAGGCUUUGACGGGUAGCCGGCCUGAGAGGGUGACCGGCCACAUUGGGACUGAGAUACGGCCCAG
rnacentral:rRNA from 1 species